GUUGCAGAUGGGUUAGCUGCGGCCAUGCGUGCAGCUGAGAACAUUUUAUUGAAUUAAUUCUCUUGGCCCUAACUGUCCCAAAGUGAAAUGAGUCACUCAACUUUGAGAAGCUUCCAUUGCUCGUUACAGCUGGUAAAUCAAAGCCUCCCGUGCAUGGAGAAACACACAGUGGAAAAUGUUGAAAUAUGUCACUUGCAUGUACUCAGCAGGAAAAAUGUGAGGUAGCUUAGAUAAUCUGCUCCUUGUUGGAUCAUUGCGCAUCUCGCGGGCCAUUUGCACGUGCUGUUACCCAGUUCGUGCCUGGUCUGUGGCACGUCGGCAUGCAUCUCUCUGUCUUGGAUGGCCUCCUAUUAUAAACAAGUCCACUGGGCUCUUUGAACACUUUAGCAGAAGGUUGAGUUUGAGUUGUCAUGUCUUUCCCCCUUGCCUAAUACAUGUAGUUAGUUCACUUCCUAAUUAUCUUCGUGACCAUAUGGAGAAGUGACGUGGAAUGGACUCUCAGCUUAGUUCAGUGGGUCUGGAAAUCCAAAUUGGAUGGAAAGAAGAACAAGUUUUGUAACUGAAAUCAAAUAUACUCCUGGAGGUCUCAUGUUCUAAUAAAAGGCUGAGGAAUAUCUGAUGUUUUGCAAAGGUGGCCAACCCAGUACAGGGAGCACAACCUGGAGACAGGUGUCUCAUACGUCGUGCCCUGCAGUAGGUCACGCGGAGGAGAGCUUGUGCGCAGUGGCUGGUCCAGAGGAGACAUGGAGUAACCUCAAGGCCGUCACUAUCUAGGAUUCUGCUGCCUGACACCUGCAGAGAAGCCUCUGGGGGAAGAUGUGACAGCAUUGACCUAACUUCAUUUUGGACUCGUCCAUCUUCAUUUCUGCCCUAUCUCUCUUUGGUCUCUCUUCCCACUUGCAGACCCUUGCGAGUGAAGAGAAAUUCUUCAGCUCCCACAGUGAGAUUUCCGACUCCCUCCAAGGAAAAGACAGUCCAGUUAACAGUGAGCUUCUCAUCUGGGGUUAUCCAGGCUAGAAGGAAAGCAGAUGCCAUCUUUACAUUCGAGAGCAAGCCUCAAAUACAGCCAUUUUUUCACAUGCCAAGUCUGUAUGCAAAGACUAGAGAACCACCCUUUAAAAACUACUCCAGGCUGUUCUUCGCCAAGAAGAUGCAUGAAGACGGUAAGAGAUGGUAAGAGGUGGGGUUCAAGGCAUGGUGGGUACAGAAGUGCAUAGAAUAAUACCAGCUGACUUAAUGAAAUGCUGACUGUAAACAUAGCAUCGUGCAAUAACAUGGAAAAUAAGAACUUUGGUAACAGUAACAGCUUAGUAAUGCAGUGGUUUGAUGGAAUGUGCAAUGACCGAAUAAUUUCAGAUUUUAUUAGACAAAUUAAUGUAAAGUACAUAAUGAAAAGAACCACUAUGUCUAUAAAACAUAACUGAAAUUGAGACGAAUUGAAAGGAAACAGUCAAGUUAAGAAGUAGAAGGAGGCAUUCCCAUGGUGUCUCAGUGAUAACGACCCCUGACUGGCAUCCAUGAGGUGGCGGGUUUGAUCUCUGGCCUUGCUCAGUGGGUUGAGGAUCUGGCGUUGCCUGGAGCUGUGGUGUAGGUUGCAGAUGCGGCUUGGAUCUGGCAUGGCUGUGGCUGUGGUGUAGGCUGGUGGC
rnacentral:lncRNA from 1 species